rnacentral:rRNA from 1 species
CCUGAGAAACCCAAAAGAUCGAAUGGGGAGAUUCAUCGUCAGCGGCGUUGGCUUCCGUGUGGCUCGCGAUGGCCGGGACUUCGGUCCUGCGUCACGCGGUCGCUGCGGUAUGUCCGAUGUCGUCGGCGUGCACUUCUCCCCUAGUAGGACGUCGCGACCCGUUGGGUGUCGGACCGAUGGCCGCUUGGUCGCCUGUCUCGUCGCGUUUAUUCGCGUUCGGGGCAGACCACAGUGGUCGAGUUGUCCGGCUGCCCGGCGGUAUAGAACGCAUCGAAUUAUGGUAUCGAGCCGCAUUAAGUGCGUUCGGGCUCGUCGGCAGGCCUGUCUCGCCCGGAUUUACGGACCUAGUGCCGUUGCCGGGCGCUUGGCGGGCUGUUGGUCGGCGGGUCCUCGGACUGGCUCUUCUUUACCUGUCAGCGACGCUACUGCUUUGGGUACUUUC